GCACUUCACUGGGGCACAACACCGCUGCAGCAAAGGCGCACUGACCCUUAUUAAUGUUUCAGUGGACCACCAUGGCCCUCAAGGCACUGUCUGGGCUGUAUGGCGUUGCUUGCUGUGUGGCCUUAGUCACGGGGGCCAUGAAGGACGCCCUCCCUCCUGAUUGGCAGCUCUUUUGUCAAAUGCUGUUCGUCCACAUGGAGCAAGCACUCACGCUUUUCCAAUUUCUCCAUUGUUUGAUGUUCAGCAUCAUCGUGUACCAUUAAACGAUUCAUGAUUCAUCCAUGCUGAAACAUGUGGCCGGAUGCCGCAGGUAUCAAUACCAGACCGA